rnacentral:rRNA from 1 species
GACGAACGCUGGCGGCGUGCUUAACACAUGCAAGUCGAACGAGGCCCUGCCUUCGGGCAGGUGACCUAGUGGCGAACGGGUGAGUAACACGUGGGCAACCUACCCUCAGCUCUGGGAUAACCCCGGGAAACCGGAGCUAAUACCGGAUAUGACCUGGAACGACAUCGCUCCAGGUGGAAAGUUUUUCGGUCUGAGGAUGGGCCCGCGGCCUAUCAGCUUGUUGGUGGGGUAAUGGCCUACCAAGGCGACGACGGGUAGCCGGCCUGAGAGGGCGACCGGCCACACUGGGACUGAGACACGGCCCAGACUCCUACGGGAGGCAGCAGUGGGGAAGUAUUGCGCAAUGGGCGAAAGCCUGACGCAGCGACGCCGCGUGAGGGAUGAAGGCCUUCGGUU